rnacentral:lncRNA from 1 species
UGAAAUCCCAUUUGAAAUCCUCUUCAAAUGCUUGUUCUUGAUUGAUAAAGAAUAUCUCAUGAAUUGCAAACUUCCAAUAACAAGACCAAUAUGUAACACAUAAGCCCAUGUCUUUUUAUUGUAUGCACAUGAAGUCUUGCAAUAUCCGUUUGUGAAUAUCACUCUUCUUUUCUUAAUGAUCCUUUUACUUGUCAAUCAAGCUAUCACAUGAUUUGAAGGCUUGUAGAUCAACUAUAAAACAUAUCCCAAGUUUUACUUCACCCUUGCUUGUCAUUGAUCAUAUAAUUUCAUCACGGGGUCACAUUUCUUUAUUGUGAGCCAUAUAAUACAUAUUCAACUUAUGAGACAAUAUUACAUUAUAAAUAUGAGAAUAAAACCCUGCUCAUAAUAUUAAGCAAACAAGUUAGUCCUUUAAUCAUUUUGUCAUUCAAUUCACCAAAACCCCGCCUAGAUGCACUUUCAAUCUCCCUCUUUUUGGUGAUUGAUGACAAUCCAAUUAAAACUUACAAAUAUAUCAAUAAAGCGCUUUUAGAUUCUUAGAUAUGUG